CCUACGGGAGGCAGCAGUGAGGAAUAUUGGUCAAUGGACGAGAGUCUGAACCAGCCAAGUAGCGUGAAGGAUGACUGCCCUAUGGGUUGUAAACUUCUUUUAUAUGGGAAUAAAAUGUUCCACGUGUGGGAUUUUGUAUGUACCAUAUGAAUAAGGAUCGGCUAACUCCGUGCCAGCAGCCGCGGUAAUACGGAGGAUCCGAGCGUUAUCCGGAUUUAUUGGGUUUAAAGGGAGCGUAGGUGGAUUGUUAAGUCAGUUGUGAAAGUUUGCGGCUCAACCGUAAAAGUGCAGUUGAAACUGGCAGUCUUGAGUACAGUAGAGGUGGGCGGAAUUCGGGGUGUAGCGGUGAAAUGCUUAGAUAUCACGAAGAACUCCGAUUGCGAAGGCAGUUCACUGGACUGCAACUGACACUGAGGCUCGAAAGUGUGGGUAUCAAACAGGAUUAGAUACCCUUGUAGUC
rnacentral:rRNA from 1 species